UCGAGAAUUUUUCUCAAUGGGGGAAACCCUGAAGGAGCGACGCCGCGUGCGGGAUGAAGGCCUUCGGGUUGUAAACCGCUGUCAGUGGGGAGAAAAGGAUGGUGAGUUCUCUCAUCAUUUUGAUCUAUCCGCAGAGGAAGUGAGGGCUAAGCUCGUGCCAGCAGCCGCGGUAAGACGAGCCUCACAAACGUUAUUCGGAAUUACUGGGCUUAAAGGGUGCGUAGGCGGCGCGGAAAGUUGGGUGUGAAAUCCCUCGGCUCAACCGAGGAACUGCGCCCAAAACUGCCGUGCUCGAGGAAGAUAGAGGUGAGCGGAACUUACGGUGGAGCGGUGAAAUGCGUUGAUAUCGUAAGGAACACCCGUGGCGAAAGCGGCUCACUGGGUCUUUUCUGACGCUGAUGCACGAAAGCUAGGGGAGCAAACGG
rnacentral:rRNA from 1 species